rnacentral:rRNA from 1 species
UACAGAGGUCUCAAGCGUUGUUCGGAUUCAUUGGGCGUAAAGGGUGCGUAGGUGGCGCCGUAAGUCAGGUGUGAAAUUUCGGAGCUUAACUCCGAAACUGCAUUCGAUACUGCGGUGCUUGAGGACUGGAGAGGAGACUGGAAUUCAUGGUGUAGCAGUGAAAUGCGUAGAGAUCAUGAGGAAGACCAGUGGCGAAGGCGGGUCUCUGGACAGUUCCUGACACUGAGACACGAAGGCCAGGGGAGCAAACGGG